UGGGGAAUAUUGGGCAAUGGACGCAGGCGGUCUUUUAAGUCUGAUGUGAAAGCCUUCGGCUUAACCGGAGUAGUGCAUUGGAAACUGGGAGACUUGAGUGCAGAAGAGGAGAGUGGAACUCCAUGUGUAGCGGUGAAAUGCGUAGAUAUAUGGAAGAACACCAGUGGCGAAAGCGGCUCUCUGGUCUGUAACUGACGCUGAGGUUCGAAAGCGUGGGUAGCAAACAGG
rnacentral:rRNA from 1 species